UCAACUUGAGAGUUUGAUCCUGGCUCAGGACGAACGCUGGCGGCAGGCUUAACACAUGCAAGUCGAGCGCCCUGCUUGCAGGGAGCGGCAGACGGGUGAGUAACGCGUGGGAACAUGCCCUUCGGUACGGAAUAGCCCCGGGAAACUGGGUGUAAUACCGUAUACGACCUCCGGGUGAAAGAUUUAUCGCCGAAGGAUUGGCCCGCGUUGGAUUAGCUUGAUGGUGGGGUAAAGGCCUACCAUGGCGACGAUCCAUAGCUGGUCUGAGAGGACGACCAGCCACACUGGGACUGAGACACGGCCCAGACUCCUACGGGAGGCAGCAGUGGGGAAUAUUGGACAAU
rnacentral:rRNA from 1 species